rnacentral:rRNA from 1 species
CCAAGCGUAGUCUUGCUGGACGCGCCCAGGCGCAGCCAGAAACCCUUUGUGAACUUAUACCUUACUGUUGCCUCGGCGCAUGCCGGCCCCCCUGGGGGCCCCUCCUUCUGGAGGAGCAGGCACGCCGGCGGCCAACCCAACUCUUGUUUUUACACUGAAACUCUGAGAAUAAAACAUAAAUGAAUCAAAACUUUCAACAACGGAUCUCUUGGUUCUGGCAUCGAUGAAGAACGCAGCGAAAUGCGAUAAGUAAUGUGAAUUGCAGAAUUCAGUGAAUCAUCGAAUCUUUGAACGCACAUUGCGCCCUCUGGUAUUCCGGAGGGCAUGCCUGUUCGAGCGUCAUUUCAACCCUCAAGCCUGGCUUGGUGAUGGGGCACUGCCUGUAAAAGGGCAGGCCCUGAAAUUCAGUGGCGAGCUCGCCAGGACCCCGAGCGCAGUAGUUAAACCCUCGCUUUGGAAGGCCCUGGCGGUGCCCUGCCGUUAAACCCCCAACUUCUGAAAAUUUGACCUCGGAUCAAGUAGGAAUACCCGCUGAACUUAAGCAUAUCAAUAAGCGGAGGAA